rnacentral:rRNA from 1 species
CCAGCAGCCGCGGUAAUUCCAGCUCCAUGAGCAUGUACGUAAGUUGUUGCAGUUAAAAAGCUCGUAGUUGGAUCUCAGGCCGUGGUCAAUGGUCCGUCCGAUACGGAUGUGUACUGUUGUACCUGGUCUACGUCUGGUUCAACGUUCGUAGUGCCCUUAACCGGGUGCUGCGGAACGCCAGAAGGUUUACUCUGAAAAAAUUAGAGUGCUUAAAGCAAGCCGUUGUGCUUGAAUAUUGUUGCAUGGAAUAAUGGAAUAGGGCCUCGGAUCUAUUUUGUUGGUUUUCGGAGUCGAGGCAAUGAUUAACAGGGACAGACGGGGGCAUUCGUAUUGCGCCGUUAGAGGUGAAAUUCUUGGAUCGGCGCAAGACGAACAACUGCGAAAGCAUUU